rnacentral:rRNA from 1 species
GAUGAACGCUGGCGGCGUGCCUAAUACAUGCAAGUCGAGCGAACAGACGAGGAGCUUGCUCCUCUGACGUUAGCGGCGGACGGGUGAGUAACACGUGGAUAACCUACCUAUAAGACUGGGAUAACUUCGGGAAACCGGAGCUAAUACCGGAUAAUAUAUUGAACCGCAUGGUUCAAUAGUGAAAGACGGUUUUGCUGUCACUUAUAGAUGGAUCCGCGCCGCAUUAGCUAGUUGGUAAGGUAACGGCUUACCAAGGCAACGAUGCGUAGCCGACCGGAGAGGGUGAUCGGCCACACGGGAACUGAGACACGGUCAAGACUCCUACGGGGGGCAGCAGAGGGGAAUCUUCCGCAAUGGGCGAAGGCCUGACGGAGCAACGCCGCGUGAGUGAUGAGGGUCUUCGGAUCGUAAAACUCUGUUAUUAGGGAAAAACAAAUGUGUAAGUAACUAUGCACGUCGUGACGGUACCUAAUCAGAAAGCCACGGCUAACUACGUG